GCCUUGCCUUUCGUGCUGCCGGCUCCCCCCGCCCGGCGCCCGUAAAAUGCCCAGAAACCUGGAACGGCGAAAAACAACAGCCCUUCUCCUCCAAAGUGUGUAGUCCGUGGAUUGCAGUACACAAAAUAAGGAAAAUGAGACUGGCUGUUGCUGUCCAUUUCCCAGUCCUGCUGUUGAGCCAAGUGGGAUUCUUCUUCAUGCCAGUUACGUGGGCACAGAGGCUGGACUCUUCCUCCCAGGUGGGAGAAGUUAACUACAUGAUGACCAGACUGUAGCCAUGAGGUAAG